rnacentral:rRNA from 1 species
AUGAACCAGGAGUUCUCGCUGGAGGUCCGCUCCGCUGCCCACGCCGUUGUUCGGCUAUACGGUUUCCUUCUCACAGUGCCGCCUGAACCGGGGACGGCGGACGACGAGCUCGAUAUGAGCUGCCCCGGCGACGAUGAGCUGGUGGAAAUGGAGUACUCCCCCGAGGGCCGGCGAUUUCUUGGAGGCCCGGCGCCGUGGUUCUCCGCCGCGGGGAGCACGGCCGGCUGCAUGCGGGUCGCCGCCGUGGAGGACCAAGAAGAAGAAGAAGCAGAGUGCAAGGAGAUCCUGGUGCUCUACCGCUACGCCCCUUUCUCGGUAUCAUCGGACGGCGUGGUGGUGCGAGGGAGCACCAGGGCGCACCUGCUCCGGUUCAUGGCCACCGGCGACCACACGGCGAGGUCCCUGGCGUGGGCCGGGUCGUCUCUGAUCCGGCUGAUAUACCCCGGUGACUUCAGCGAGCAGCUCCAGGAGCUAUGGUCGAGCCUGGCGUCGCAGGUGAGCGUGCUGCCGCGCGCCGCGCGUGUCGAGGUGUUCGUCGACGUCGGCAUCCUCCGGAGGUCGUACUACACGCCCGAGCGCAUGGAGUGGAUGCGCUCCGUGCUGGAGGAGACGGUGGAGGAGCCGUGGCCCGUGCGAUUCACCGGCAUGGAGCUGCACCCGGAGCCGAUGCCGCGCGACCAUGAUAAACACGAAGCCGCCGUCGACGACGAUGACACGGACGCCGGUGAACGGCCGGCGAAGCGAAGGAGGGUCGUCGCCGCUGGGAAGGAUUGCCCCAUCUGCUUGCAGCUGCUCGAGGGCGACGACGACCUCGCCGCGUGGCCGGGGUGCGGCAAGCCCCACGUCUUCCAUGGCGCGUGGUUGGAGAGCGUCCUCGUGGACAGCAAGACGUGCCCUAUUUGCAGGCACACGCUGUACGUCGAGUCGACGUUCGGCAAGUAG